AAUGGAGUCUGCUCUGUUUAGAGUGACUCAGCAUAUAGACUUUUAAUUUCUAUCAUAGCACAAGAUGUCUGCCGAUAUAAAUACCCUGACAACCUGUUAUAAAUAUUUGUGUUCUAGCUGCUUUUAAAAUUGCUCACCAUAGCUCCCUCUAAUUGAAGGGAAGCCUUGAGAUUUACAAAGCGUCUCUUUUUACCUUUUCCCUUCC